rnacentral:pre_miRNA from 1 species
UUUGUACUCCCUCUGUCCCAAAAUUCUUGUCUUAAAUUUGUCUAAAUACGGAUGUAUCUAGUUACAAUUUAGUGUUAGAUACAUCCGUAUCUAAACAAAUGUAAGACACGAAUUUUGGGACGGAGGGAAUACUAC